GACUGGUCCCACUGACUCUACCGAUGACUGAGAAGAGUCCCUUGUGUACUGCUACGGAGCAUAGACUCUGAACUUGCUCUGCUUGACCGAGCUUUGGGCUGAUCUGCUGCAGUUUUGUUAUACGCCAGAUAUAUCUACCGCUAUGAUUUUGCAUGUACAAGUUGUUUAUGUACAUUGUAAGCGUGGGCAAUAUGUGGGAAUAUACGACAACAGCUUUUAUACCAACAGAAAAUAUGUUACCUUCGAUACUGUGGCGGUUGUGUGGACCCAACCCCCGAGUCGCCAUUGGCCGAUGUCAGCGCGCUGUCAAGUCUUAGGCAGCCAAGGGAGCAGGCCCGUUUGCAGCUGUCUACCGCCAUGUGAAGCAGGAGAACAGCACAAGAGCACACUAGGGUGGACUUCAGUUCAGAGCGGAUACUGGUGUAAACUACCGGAACAGCUUGUUUUACAUCCGCCAAAUAUUCUACAAUGCUGACGCCCCGUGGAUGGAACUCUUCACAUAAACAUAAGCUAGCUACUAACGUAAGGCCUGAUGACUCCUGAAACAUCCAGGUGGGUCACAGCCUAAAACACCAGUUUCUGCAACUUCAAGCCAGCCACCAAUGCCGUACCACGCUACUCGCUUGAGACAGGUGGGGCUCACCUACAGCCGCCACAGAUGUUGCUUACAUCUCAGGCUCCAAUUCAAGCCUUCAGACGUGGAGCAUGACAACACCAUGGGCUCUCUUUCAAAGUGUUGCUGUUUUAUAUAUUGUGCAUGCACCUUAAUGGAAAAACCCAUCAACGUUCACAUCAUGCUACCUGAGAGAUGUUCUCCAAGCUAGAGGCUUGGUGGGCAGACGAGUUCUCCAGACUACUGUACGAGCAGCAGGCAGGAAACCUAGACAAGUAGGCCUAGUUGCUACGCCCUCAAAAGAUACUGGACGUCGUAAUCAUGGGUAUGUCUUUACUAACCUCUGAUUUUUAAUAUCUGUUCAGCUUAACUAUUCUCUUGGUUCACACACUGCAUUUCCGCCCAUCUCACUACACUCCUGUGCUACUCUGCACCUGUAGGUACUGAAGGCGACGUAUUUUCUGUCACGUAAUCUACCCAAAAUCUAUGAGGAUUUUCUAUUCUAUAAAGAAAAUACUCACUUUCGAUACCAUCCCUCCCAAAUUUUGUGUUUUCCACUGUAGACAAAAAGGAGGGUGAGAUACACAUAGAGUUCUGGGAUAUGAGUCUUCGAUGUGCAGUGUGUGCGGGGUGACGCAAACACUGUUUUUUUGUUUUUCCAUCGGUAACACUUGUGCAUGCGCAUUUGGAAAAUGCGAUAGGUGUCGGAGGAGAGUAUUUUCUGUAUGGAAUAAAAAAUCAUUAAUUUGCAAGUGUUUCCUGGGGGGUUCCAUAGAACACUGAAUUAAAAAAAGUUGAUACAUCCUAGCAUGCUCAUACGAAGCUUUUUUGACCAUCUUGUUUAUCUGGGUAUCUCAUCCUUAACCUGGAAUCCAAGCCCUACCCGUUGAUCAAGCAAAAUUUAUCAACAACCCAGUGGUACCUCCAACAUAGAAUGCAGAUGGAUGGAGCCAUUGUGCAUCCAUGCCUAUUUUCGCCGAAAAAACCUAAGUAUAGCAUGCACAAGUUAGUUUAUACUUGCACUGUCUUAGCAUCAUCCAGACUAAAAUCAAAAGUCUUUCACAAGGUUUGUGCUGCACUAUGAUAGUAAAUUAACUUUGUUUUGCCUUUAAACAAAGGUACAUAUUCACAUUGUGUUUUCAGUGUGGUCCAAGAGUUGCUAAAAAAAAUUACAAGCUUGCUCAGGUGAGAUUCAAACUAUCUACUUCCUGCUUUUUAAGCGUAAUGCUAGUUGUAUUGUUUUCUGGUUCUAUUUUGUUUCCAUUUUGAGUGUUUUUGUUUUGUAUUUUCCUUUUUAAUUCUACCUUAUUUUUUGUUGUCUAGGUCGAAUAGAUAACAGCAAUAAGGAUAAAUUAGCAGGGUAGCAAAAAUUGCGAACGCAACAGUUGUUAUCUCCAGAUCACUCCUUAUUUCCAACUUAAAAUUUGCAAAAAAGUAGUAAAUAGUGCAAAAACGUCCUAAAUUCAAAAUGACGCAGAGAAUUCAGACGAUUAGUUAGAUGAAACAAUCACACUUCAGUGGAUAUCUCUUCCCUUCUGUGCUUGAAUUGGGUGCACUCUUAAAAUACCGUAAAAGCAUCGUCUAGAUGGAAUGUCCUUGAAUGAAGUGUUUUGCAGAGAGCAGCUGCUUCAAUCCGAAAUCAUUAAGACUCUUCAUCAUCUUCACAUGGUUGUGCCUCUUCAAACA
rnacentral:lncRNA from 1 species